rnacentral:tRNA from 1 species
CGGGGCAUAGCGCAGUCCGGUAGCGCACCUGGUUUGGGACCAGGUGGUCGGGAGUUCAAAUCUCUCUGCCCCGACCA